GACGAACGCUGGCGGCGUGCUUAACACAUGCAAGUCGAACGGAAAGGCCCUGCUUUUGUGGGGUGCUCGAGUGGCGAACGGGUGAGUAACACGUGAGUAACCUGCCCUUGACUUUGGGAUAACUUCAGGAAACUGGGGCUAAUACCGGCUAGGAGCUCCUGCUGCAUGGUGGGGGUUGGAAAGUUUCGGCGGUUGGGGAUGGACUCGCGGCUUAUCAGCUUGUUGGUGGGGUAGUGGCUUACCAAGGUUUUGAGGGGUAGCCGGCCUGAGCGGGUGGCCGGCGACAUUGGGACUGAGAUACGGAGCAGGCUCCUACGGGAGGCAGCAGUGGGGAAUAUUGCACAAUGGGCGGAAGCCUGAUGCAGCAACGCCGGGUGCGGGAUGACGGCCUUCGGGUUGUAAACCGCUUUCGCCUGUGACGAAGCGUGAGUGACGGUAAUGGGUAAAGAAGCACCGGCUAACUACGUG
rnacentral:rRNA from 1 species